rnacentral:rRNA from 1 species
UAGGGAAUCUUCGGCAAUGGGGGGAACCCUGACCGAGCAACGCCGCGUGAGUGAAGAAGGUUUUCGGAUCGUAAAGCUCUGUUGUUAAGGAAGAACGAGUGUGAGAAUGGAAAGUUCAUGCUGUGACGGUACUUAACCAGAAAGGGACGGCUAACUACGUGCCAGCAGCCGCGGUAAUACGUAGGUCCCGAGCGUUGUCCGGAAUUAUUGGGCGUAAAGAGUGCGUAGGCGGCAAAUUAAGUCAGAUGUGAAAACUAAGGGCUCAACCCAUAGAUUGCAUCUGAAACUGAUAUGCUUGAGUCAUGGAGAGGAAAGUGGAAUUCCUAGUGUAGCGGUGGAAUGCGUAGAUAUUAGGAGGAAUACCGGUGGCGAAGGCGACUUUCUGGACUUGAACUGACGCUGAGGCACGAAAGCGUGGGGAGCAAACAGG